UGUGAUUGAAGAUUUGUAGGAUUAUUUUCUAGAUUUUUUUUUUUAUAAUAAAAAAAUUAUUAUUAGGAAUUUUACCAUCUCAGGUAUAUUAGAUUGAUCUGAAAUAAAUUAUGAUUGAUUUGGAAUCAAUUUUUUCGUUGGAGGGAUUCUCGUUGAAUAUUCGUUUUCCGGGGGGAUGGAGGGAUUCCAAAUUUUCUAUUAUGAGUUUUCUCAAGUCUUGUAAGAAGAAGUUGGAUAUCAAUAAAGUUGUGUUCCUCUCUAUUCAAAAUUUCAAAUAUUCUUUUGGGUGUAUUCUCAUCCAUUUCUUCGAGAUUCCAGUUUCGAGGUCUCAUUGACUUGAUAACCAAGUUGCACUGGUUGCUAGAAGUUGAAGGCUCUAAAAGGGCAAGGAGAAGGCCCAAAAGGAUGUGGGUGGAGGUAGUAAGAAAAAACUUAUGACUUAUGGUCUGACUGAAGUUAUGGCCCUCGAUGGAGUGGAAUGGUGGAAAAUGAUUCAUAUAGCCGACCCCAAUUAAUUGGGCUAAGGCUUAGAUGAUGAUGAUGAUGAUCUACAUGGUGGGACCCACUCGAUGGAUGGCUUAGAUCUGUGUGCCAUGUUGGUAAAUGCGUGGAGUGCUGUUGCGCUGCCUUACACCUGCAUGUCAGAAAACCUCUUUAAGUAUGGAGUUUUAGAUGCUUGAAUUUCGGAUUCAAAACAGUCGUUCUCUAAAUCAUUCUAUCUCCAUGUAUUGGGUAUGGCUUUCCAUGCUCAUUUUGAUUGUUUCUUUGGUUUAGUUCUUUCAGGUGCAUUUGGUUGCAUGAAAUAUCAUGGCUUUCAUGAUAUUUUGCACCCGAAUAGACUGAUUAAUCAUGAUAUCUGGUGCAACAAACCAAAUGCACCCUUCAUUUUUCGACUUUUGGGUUUGCGCUUUAGUAAAAGAUAUUCAUUCCCAUCGCAUUCUUCUGAAAAAUUGAGUCAUGCCAUUGGUAUCCACAUCCGGACCAAAUGCAACUCUUGCAUUGAUGCAUCCAGGCCCCUGUUGUGGAGGUUGACCACUGAUGAUCAAAGGUUGGCCCCCACAGCCGGUUGGUUAAUAACAGGUCCCCCAAGAUCUAUUCAAUUGGAUCACAGGUUCAUGUGAUCAAGUCCUAAUGCCUUUCUUUAUGCUGAGUUUCCUAUUCAAAGUAGUCUUAGUCUAGAUUCCAUGCAAGUUGUUACCGUGGGAAGGUUUCCUUUAAGCUUACGGUUGUGAAGUAGCAAUGCUCGUGAAGCUUCUAUGCAUGAAUUGAUGAUCAAAUGAACUUGUUUUAAUUCUGUCAGUUGAAUCUUUACUAGAGAGUGAUUCUCCAACAAUUUACAGUGGAGCCCAUUAUCCUUCCUCAAUUCUCAACCAUUUCUCUACACCCCCCCCCCCCCCCCCCACAAACACCCCAACUCGUGGAUAAUGUUUCGAAGAUCCCAGCUGCUGGCUCUGACUAUCAUGAUGCUGCUAGAGUGCUGGAUUUCUGCCGAGAUUGCUGAAAGUUGGCUUGCUCAUUUAUCAGGAUUAUGCUCAGCUGCAGACGUACAUCUUGCUGACGUGCUGGAUUCUUGCCUUGUGGUUCAGUGAUCCAGACCAUUGAUCAGAUGGGCCAAACUGUUGAUAGGGGAUGCCCCAAUGUCUUCCAGAUUUGAAGAUCCCGACCCUUCCAUCUUUGCACUCCAUCUUAUUAUAUCAAAACUGGGUUUCACUGCUUAUUUACUAUUAAUGCGACUUGAGUUUGACUUUGCUUUA